UCCUGGUUAGCACAGUUGGUAGAGCGCUUCACUGGAAAUGGAGAAUUCCCUGAUUCAAAACCAGGACCAGGCG
rfam:Ixodes scapularis strain Wikel colony gcontig_1108379845008, whole genome shotgun sequence.